UUCUUGUCCCCAUUCUACCCGGGCUUCACUGGUGAGCUUUGUGUUGAACCUCACUGACCUCAGUCAGAGCCAUGACCCUGAGUUAUUCCCGCCUCUCCAUCUCUCAUGCGAAUUGUGUUCCCCAGGCCUCUGUUUGUCAUUAUAAAAAUCUGUGACCUUUGAGGUAGGCAGAGAGUGGAAAGCACCCGUGUACCUUGGGGCCUCCCAGAAGGUCACGUUUGGUCACUGAGAACAAAGCCACAUGUUCAGGGUGGUGAGCAUCGUCAUGGCCUGGAUAAUGAAGGAAAGGAUCUUGUGAGUGGAGGAUUGUGGGAGUUUCCUAGCCUGCCAUACAAAUGUCUCCAGUCAGGAGGCAGCACACAAUACAAGUGUUCUGACCUCACUAUGCUAGAGGUCGGAGGUUGACCUCAAGGUGUUCAUGGUACCAUGGUCCUCCAAAGGCCCUCUCAAGCAUCCUUCUUCACCUCUCUCCAGCAUCUAAUGGCACCAGACAUUUCUUGGCUUGUGGCUCCAUCACUCCAGUCUCCGUACCAACCGCUCAUUACUGUCAUUGUAUCUGCAUCCCUUCUUAUAGGGAUGCCCAGCAUCAGAUUUCAGGACCAUCUUCUACCUGGAAUUCCAUCCUAAGAUCUUUAACUAAUUACUGUAUGACUGUACUGAAAGUUCCUGUGUGCAAGUAAGGUCUUUCCCGAGCUUCCUGAUAGAUGUGAGUUAAGGAGGGAGCCUACAGUUCAGGAAGCAGACUCCUGUUUUUCAACUUUGUUUGGAAACUGGUGUUCCUGCAAAAACCUGUCCACAGACACUUUCAGUUCACAACUCUCUCUUGAAAUGGAUGAACAUCGCUCGCACGAUGGGAAACAGUUUAGUGCUAGGAAGGCGUGAACUUUGAGAGCCGGGACCACAGAGAAGGGUCAGGAGGAGGCGGUGCUAAGUCUGUCUCCAACGUUCUCAGAGGUUCCGUUCCCUGUCUGAGGCUUCUGUCUUCCGUGGAGUGCUAAGAGCCACACAUGGGGUUCUUGCCAGUGGUAGGCAAUCACGGUACCAAGUUCCUGUCUGAGACUCUUACAGAGCCCAAACAAGAUGUGUCUGUGGUUUCCAGAGCCGGAGUGGACCGAGGAUAUGCUGUGAGUCUGUCUGAGAGUGAUGGGUCAAUUCUACAUUUUAACUGUUGUGGAGAUGACAAGACCCCCAUCUAAUCAUGCUUGAAAUACAUGUACACACACACCCCAACCCUGGAAAAAUACCACUGUAAAACUCAGGGCUGGAGAACUGACUCAGUAACUCAUAAUUCAGAGGACCAGAGAAUUCCCACAACCCAUGUCAGGCUGCCUUCUUCCAGCCUCCAAGGGCAUUUGCCUCACAUGCACACACCCACAGACAGACACAUAUGCCUGUGAUUUUUAAAAUUAUUCAAAACAAAUCUCUGAAACGGUUAUCUGG
rnacentral:lncRNA from 1 species